CGGUCUUGAAUAGGCCAGAAUUGGGGACUUGAUCCCCUAGUUGAAGGCGAAGAGAAAUCAAAUCAUGUGAUCGUUUGGGCGACAACAGCCCUUACGCGCAACAUGUGCCUGUUCGUAUAACAAUGUUAGUGAUAACUUGUUGAGCGGAGCAAAGAGAUGCUUGAUUGGUACCCGAAAGAUGGUGAACUAUGCCUGGGCAAAUUGAAGCCAGAGGAAACUCUGGUGGAGGAUUGUAGCGAUUCUGACGUGCAAAUCGAUCGUCAGACCUGGGUAUAGGGGCGAAAGACUAAUCGACCCC
rnacentral:rRNA from 1 species